GACGAACGCUGGCGGCGUGCUUAACACGUGCAAGUCGAACGGAAAGGCCCUGCUUUUGUGGGGUGCUCGAGCGGCGAACGGGUGAGUAACACGUGAGUAACCUGCCCUUGACUUUGGGAUAACUUCAGGAAACUGGGGCUAAUACCGGAUAGGAGCUCCUGCUGCAUGGUGGGGGUUGGAAAGUUUCGGCGGUUGGGGAUGGACUCGCGGCUUAUCAGCUUGUUGGUGGGGUAGUGGCUUACCAAGGCUUUGACGGGUAGCCGGCCUGAGAGGGUGACCGGCCACAUUGGGACUGAGAUGCGGCCCAGACUCCUACGGGAGGCAGCAGUGGGGAAUAUUGCACAAUGGGCGGAAGCCUGAUGCAGCAACGCCGCGUGCGGGAUGACGGCCUUCGGGUUGUAAACCGCUUUCGCCUGUGACGAAGCGUGAGUGACGGUAAUGGGUAAAGAAGCACCGGCUAACUACGUG
rnacentral:rRNA from 1 species